rnacentral:rRNA from 1 species
AUGAUUGUGCUCAAACUGGAUUUCAGAAAGGCUUUUGACAGUGUGAGUUGGGACGCUCUAAACCAAAUCAUGGACUCAAGGGGCUUCGGCACCAGAUGGAGAUGUUGGAUCAACUGUUUGCUUUCCUCCAGCUCCUCAAGUGUUUUGAUCAAUGGACAUAUUGGGGAACAGAUU